rnacentral:rRNA from 1 species
CCCGUUGGUGAACCAGCGGAGGGAUCAUUA